CACAAAACAGGGAAUAGUGUGCCAUUUGAGAUGCAUGGACCCAUGUUGUAGCUGUAGGGGGGCUGGGUGGGGUAGAGGUGGUCUACAUGUUGUAGCCGUAGGGGGGCCGGGUGGGGUAGAGGUGGUCUACAUGUAGUAGCUGUAGGGGGGCUGGGUAGGGUAGAGGUGGUCUACAUGUUGUAGCCGUAGGGGGUUGGGUGGGGUAGAGGUGGUCUACAUGUUGUAGCCGUAGGGGGGCUGGGUGGGGUAGAGGUGGUCUACAUGUUGUAGCUGUAGGGGGGCUGGGUAGGGUAGAGGUGGUCUACAUGUUGUAGCUGUAGGGGGGCUGGGUGGGGUAGAGGUGGUCUACAUGGUGUAGCUGUAGGGGGGCUGGGUGGGGUAGAGGUGGUCUACAUGGUGUAGCUGUAGGGGGCUGGGUGGGGUAGAGGUGGUCUACAUGUUGUAGCUGUAGGGGGCUGGGUGGGGUAGAGGUGGUCUACAUGUUGUAGCUGUAGGGGGGCUGGGUGGGGUAGAGGUGGUCUACAUGUUGUAGCUGUAGGGGGGCUGGGUGGGGUAGAGGUGGUCUACAUGUUGUAGCUGUAGGGGGGCUGGGUGGGGUAGAGGUGGUCUACAUGUUGUAGCUGUAGGGGGGCUGGGUGGGGUAGAGGUGGUCUACAUGUUGUAGCUGUAGGGGGGCUGGGUGGGGUAGAGGUGGUCUACAUGUUGUAGCUGUAGGGGGGCUGGGUGGGGUAGC